CCCCCCCCUUUGGAAGAGCUGUGUGGAGUCAUUUAUCUCCCUGCGGAGGAAAUUGUUCCUGGACAAGGAGAAGGCCGAGGAGCUUUGGCUCAACAGGCUGAUGUCUCUCCGCUAGGAGAGGCUCAUGGGUAGUCCUGUGCCCUGAUUGGACGAGCUCUAAUUAGUCUAUCCUUGUCAGGCCACACCGUCAGGAACAAUCCCCUGUCCCUAAACAUGAAUCUUUAUACAUUUUUAUUUAAUCCCUCAUUCACUGGACUUCCCUCAGACUUUUUGUCAAGAAACUACAAUGUUUCAAGAAGAUUUGUAUUUUGUCAUUUAAAAAAAUUAAGAUUUAAAAUAAUAAUUUAAGAUUUUUUUUAAAUUAUAAACUUGGAUUAGCUAACACAACGUGCCAUUGGAACACAGGAGUAAUGGUUUCUGAUAAUGGGCCUCUGUACACCUAUGUAGAUAUUCCAUAAAAAAUCUGCUAUUUUCAGCUACAAUAGUAAUUUACAAUAUUAACAAUGUCUACACUGUAUUUAUGAUCAAUUUGAUGUUAUUUUAAUGGGCAACAAAUGUGCUUUUCUUUCAAAAACAAGGACAUUUCUAAGUGACCCCAAACUUUUGAACGGUAAUAUAUUAAGUAGGAAAGAAAUUCCACGAAAUAACUUUAAACAAAGUACACAUGUUAAUUUAAAUGCAUUCCAGGCGACUACUUCAUGAACCUGGUUGAGAGAAUGCCAAGAGUUUGCAAAGCUGUCAUCAAGGCAAAGGGUGGUUACUUUGAAGAAUCUAAAAUAUAUUUUGAUUUGUUAAACACUUAUUUGGUUACUACAUGAUUCCAUAUGUGUUAUUUUAUAGUUUUGAUGUCUUUACUAUUUUUCUACAAUGUAGAAAAUAGUCCAAAUAAAGAAAAACCCUUGAAUGAGUAGGUGUGUCUAAACUUUGCACUGGUACUGCAUAUGUGUGUACAUACAGUUUGGACACACCUACUCAUUCAGGGGUGUUCUGACGAAUUGAGGCUGUUCUGAGGGCAGAGGAUGUAACUCAAUAUUAGGAAGGUGUUCCUAAUGUUUUGUACACUCAGUGUAUGUAUAUAGUAUAAUGGUGUGUAUCGACAGUAUAUGAAUAGGAACGGUGUUUACAUCAGUAGUUAUAUACGAUGAGCCUUGACUAGAAUACAGUAUAUACAUAUGAAGUGGGUAAAACAGUAUGUAAACAUUAUUAUAGUGA